UCAGGAAAGUAUUCUUCAUGGAAUAAAGUAAUGCUUGAACUAAGAUUUGAAGGAUGCUUAAUGUUAGAUAAAAGGUGCCUGAAAAUACAUUUCAGAGAAAGGAACUAGAAAAACUCAAGUACAGAGGCAUAGAAUAGUAUAAAAUGUUCCAUGAUCAUUUCAGGCAGACUGCUUUUACUAGACUGUAAAGUAAAUUCAGAACAAGAUGGCAUUGAGGCUGGAAAGGAUAAUGAAAUGCCAGUGUUCAUGUUUUAGAGAGGUCAUGCAACAGUGCUAGCCGAUGUCAACAGAAGUCCCUGAUUAUGACCUUCUUUCUCAAAUAAAAGAAUGUUAGAAGGAAGCUUUGAUGCACCCUUAUCUGCUACUUUGUGUGCAGAAAAAAAGAGAGAUGCAGAAGUCAUCUUGUAACAGUGAAGUCAGAAAUCGCGUGCUGAAGAUAAUUCCUGGCUGACAUCCUUGAGCAGUAUGUGAAAACAAAAGCCCUAUGUUUAAGCCCUUGUUAAUUGGGUAUUCUGCUACUAAUUGCCAGAAAUAAAAAGUACGUUUCAAUUUUC